GCGGGACACAUUCGGCGCCAUGACCGGGCUGUACGGCGCCAUCCAGCCCGCCGACUCCGUGUCCCUCAGCACCCGCACCCACGGCGCGGUCUUCAACCUCGAGUACUCGCCCGACGGGUCGGUGCUGACUGUCGCCUGUGAACAGACCGAAGUCCUGCUCUUUGACCCAAUAUCCUCAAAGCACAUCAAGACUCUCUCUGAGGCCCACGAAGACUGUGUAAACAACAUCAGGUUUUUGGAUAACCGACUGUUUGCGACAUGCUCCGACGACACAACAAUUGCACUCUGGGACUUGAGGAAGCUGAACACCAAAGUUUGCACUCUGCAUGGCCACACCAGCUGGGUCAAGAACAUUGAGUACGACACCAACACGAGGCUGUUGGUGACAUCGGGCUUCGAUGGAAACGUGAUCAUCUGGGACACCAACAGGUGCACAGAGGAUGGAUGUCCCCACAAGAAGUUCUUUCACACCCGCUUUCUCAUGCGAAUGAGGCUGACACCAGACUGUUCCAAAAUGCUCAUCUCCACCUCCUCGGGUUACCUCCUGAUUUUGCAUGACCUUGACCUAAACAAGUCCUUAGAGGUUGGCAGCUACCCGAUUUUAAGAGCCAGGAGGACCACGUCAAGCUCAGACAUAACGUCAUCUGGCUCCUCCGGCCCUCGAGCUGUGGGUUCACCCUGUCACCAGCAUGACUCGGGUCCACUUUCUGAGAAACACUUGUCACGGUCCUCCCAGCGAGAAGGUGGAUCACCCAGGAAUAGCUUGGAGGUGUUGACACCAGAGGUUCCUGGAGAAAGAGAUCGUGGGAACUGCAUCACAUCGCUGCAGCUGCACCCCAAGGGCUGGGCCACACUGCUCCGGUGCUCCAGCAACACCGACGACCAGGAGUGGACUUGUGUCUAUGAAUUCCAGGAAGGAGCCCCGGUGCGCCCCGUGUCCCCGCGCUGCUCCCUGCGGCUGACGCACUGCAUCGAGGAGGCCAACGUGGGCCGGGGGUACAUCAAGGAGCUCUGCUUCAGCCCCGACGGCCGCAUGAUCUCGUCCCCGCACGGCUUCGGCAUCCGCCUGCUGGGCUUCGACGCGCAGUGCCGGGAGCUGGUGGACUGCCUGCCACGGGAGGCCAGUCCCCUGCGCGAGAUCCGCUCCCUAUACUCCCACAACGACGUGGUGCUCACCACCAAGUUCUCCCCCACGCACUGUCAGAUCGCCUCGGGGUGCCUUAGUGGACGCGUCUCCCUCUACCAGCCCAAGUUCUAGGCACGGCAGUGGGGCCUGCGCCUGGAUGGUCGUGGGUUGUACUUCAGCUCUCUCCAAAAUCUCUUGCUCUGGAUGGGAUCCCGGUUACUGUGGUCUUGGAACACGGCCCUGGAAGGAUUUUCCAACCCAGCACCGUGCGGAUCUUCCUCCUGCACCCAUGAGCCUGCAGCCGUGUCCUAGAGCCAGUGGAGUUCUGCUGCUGCUGGUCCCGUGCCAUCGAGUUGCUGUCCUGCUGUGUUUGUACCCUGAUACUUGAUCAUUUCCUUUAGUGCAACUGGAAUGGGCUGUUUGAGACAAUGCAGAGGGGGCCCGGGUGCCUCCUGUCCCAUAGGAGCUGGACUCUGCCUGACCUCUCCUUCCUCCUCUGUCGCUGAAGCAACUUGGUGGUGAUUUGUAGAUAAUCAGCUGCUUGACUACAUAAGCAACACAGUUACUGACAUAAAAAAAAAAAGGAAAAGGAAAUUUUACUUUCAUUUCUAUAUGAAUUUGGUUGUAAUUGGCUAGAAAAAUGAGUCACAGAGGCUCGGGGUGGGAGGGACCACUGAAGCUCACCCAGGCCCCCCCCCCUUGCAGGCAGGCCCCCCUUGAGCCCCUCACUCAGCACUGCGGAAGACCCUGACCCAGAGGAACUCUGAUGGUUCGUGCAGUGGGGCAGCUCUGGCUCCUCCACUGCUGGGUUUCUGUUGUAGGGAGUUUUCCACAUCAUCCCGCAUCUGAAACACUGUGGCUUUCUGCUGAUGUUGGGGUGUUUCCCAGCUGGCUGUUUUUCCACACCUUGCCUGCACUCUGGCUGUGGGAGGAAUUCAUUCGGAUGUGUCCAUAGUACCACCAGGAUUAUAAAAAAUUGGAGUGAAAGGAAGAAGCCAACGGCCCAUCCUGUUUUUGUCCUGCAGGAAACAGAAACUUCUCAUUUCCCAAUCUUAGUCAAAGGUACAUUUUCUAAAGCACUAAGUAUCCUCGAUUAAGUAUAAGGUUUUUACUACAAAAACAAAUUGUGCAUGUAGAAUAUUUUGAAAUACCUGAGAUUUCAUAGUAAAAACUGUAGCCUUUUAAUACCAUAUAUGAAGUAUCAGAACUGCUCUGAAAGUAUUGUACUUACAGCCGUACAGUAACUUACUAUUUGUGGACAGUUUCUCUUGCUUGCAUAAUAAAUAUUUAAUAAUUCACUGAAUUAAAAUCUAUUUUAUGAGCUG